rnacentral:rRNA from 1 species
GCGAAGCGCGGGCCAGCGGCCGCGGGAAUUCUGAGGUGGCAAGCGUUAAUCGGAAUUACGGGGCGUAAAGCGUGCGCAGGCGGUUGUGCAAGACCGAUGUGAAAUCCCCGGGCUUAACCUGGGAACUGCAUUGGUGACUGCAAGGCUAGAGUAUGGCAGAGGGGGGUAGAAUUCCACGUGUAGCAGUGAAAUGCGUAGAGAUGUGGAGGAAUACCGAUGGCGAAGGCAGCCCCCUGGGCCAAUACUGACGCUCAUGCACGAAAGCGUGGGGAGCAAACAGGAUUAGAUACCCUUGUAGUC